AGAUCCAACCAGACCAAGGCAGGAGUAAACAAGAAAUGAAUAGAAAUAAACAUCAGCAGGAAAUCAGCAUUCAAACAGACCAAGGAAGGGGUAAACAAGAAAUAAAUUGAAAUGAACAUCAUCAAGCAAUCAGCGAAGAUCCAAAUCCGACCAUGGUAGAAGUAAACAAGAAAAAAAAAUGAACAACAUCAUCAUGAAAUCAGCGAAG